UAAAAUCUGGAUGGAUCAUAUAUAAAUGGAUAAUUUGGAUAAAAACAACAGAUGGUGAAACAAACAUCCCCUAGCAACAACAAAAGUAUACCUUUGUUUCACCAUUGACUAUUUGACGUUGGCCGCUCUCUCACCGCCGUUUCCUUGCAGCUGACGGCUGCCGACGGGAUUUCAUAUGUUUGUUUUAUUAUUUUGAUAAUAUGGGCUUUUAGAUCAACAUAAUUUUCUUCGGCGCUAUGGGCCUAUUCAAAAUAUCAGAAUCUUGUGAACUAGUGGGCUCAAAUCGCUCGGUCCCAGUUUCAUAUUUGUUAUCCAGAAACUUUUUCUUAAAUUUUUGUUUUGUUUAAAAGGAAAUCGGAGUAUAUAACAAAAAACAAAAUGUUAUGAACCAGAUCGUGGAUGGCUCAUAAUCAAGAGAUUAUGAUUUGUAAUCUUUUCAUUUAUCUAUGACGGUGUAAUCUCUUAUAUAAAGAACUUCUAUGUUAUGAAUAAAGAUAGACUUUUCCAUUACUUUUAUAACACGUUGUCAGCACGAAACUCUAAAUCCCUAAGCUAAUACCCAAAUCGAAAAACCCUAAAACUCUA
rnacentral:lncRNA from 1 species